ACCUGGAUGGCUCAGUCGGUUGAGUGUCUGACUUCGGCUCAGGUCAUGAUCUCAUGGUUCAUGGGUUCAAGCCCUAUGUCGGGCU
rnacentral:tRNA from 1 species